rnacentral:rRNA from 1 species
GACGGAGGAUGCAAGUGUUAUCCGGAAUCACUGGGCGUAAAGCGUCUGUAGGUGGUUUAAUAAGUCAACUGUUAAAUCUUGAGGCUCAACCUCAAAAUCGCAGUCGAAACUAUUAGGCUAGAGUAUAGUAGGGGUAAAGGGAAUUUCCAGUGGAGCGGUGAAAUGCGUAGAGAUUGGAAAGAACACCGAUGGCGAAGGCACUUUACUGGGCUAUUACUAACACUCAGAGACGAAAGCUAGGGUAGCAAGUGGG